rnacentral:rRNA from 1 species
UGCAGUCGAACGAUGAAGCCCAGCUUGCUGGGUGGAUUAGUGGCGAACGGGUGAGUAACACGUGAGUAACCUGCCCUUAACUCUGGGAUAAGCCUGGGAAACUGGGUCUAAUACCGGAUAGGAGCGUCCACCGCAUGGUGGGUGUUGGAAAGAUUUAUCGGUUUUGGAUGGACUCGCGGCCUAUCAGCUUGUUGGUGAGGUAAUGGCUCACCAAGGCGACGACGGGUAGCCGGCCUGAGAGGGUGACCGGCCACACUGGGACUGAGACACGGCCCAGACUCCUACGGGAGGCAGCAGUGGGGAAUAUUGCACAAUGGGCGAAAGCCUGAUGCAGCGACGCCGCGUGAGGGAUGACGGCCUUCGGGUUGUAAACCUCUUUCAGUAGGGAAGAAGCGAAAGUGACGGUACCUACAGAAGAAGCACCGGCUAACUACGUGCCAGCAGCCGCGGUAAUACGUAGGGUGCGAGCGUUAUCCGGAAUUAUUGGGCGUAAAGAGCUCGUAGGCGGUUUGUCGCGUCUGUCGUGAAAGUCCGGGGCUUAACCCCGGAUCUGCGGUGGGUACGGGCAGACUAGAGUGCAGUAGGGGAGACUGGAAUUCCUGGUGUAGCGGUGGAAUGCGCAGAUAUCAGGAGGAACACCGAUGGCGAAGGCAGGUCUCUGGGCUGUAACUGACGCUGAGGAGCGAAAGCAUGGGGAGCGAACAGGAUUAGAUACCCUGGUAGUCCAUGCCGUAAACGUUGGGCACUAGGUGUGGGGACCAUUCCACGGUUUCCGCGCCGCAGCUAACGCAUUAAGUGCCCCGCCUGGGGAGUACGGCCGCAAGGCUAAAACUCAAAGGAAUUGACGGGGGCCCGCACAAGCGGCGGAGCAUGCGGAUUAAUUCGAUGCAACGCGAAGAACCUUACCAAGGCUUGACAUGUUCUCGAUCGCCGUAGAGAUACGGUUUCCCCUUUGGGGUGGGUUCACAGGUGGUGCAUGGUUGUCGUCAGCUCGUGUCGUGAGAUGUUGGGUUAAGUCCCGCAACGAGCGCAACCCUCGUUCAUGUUGCCAGCACGUCCUGGGKGGGGACUCAUGGGARACUGCCGGGGUCAMCUCGGAGGAAGGUGAGGACGACGUCAAAUCAUCAUGCCCCUUAUGUCUUGGGCUUCCNCAUGCUACAUGGCC